UUUUCAAUCAUUGAUUCCUGCAACAAACUUAGACUUAAAAGAGUUAAAGUAACUGGAGAUAAAGAAGUAUGUGCAGGAUUUAUUUUCACGACUAAAGAGGACUCCGAAGAAGUAUUAAAGUUCUGGUGGAUCAAAGAUCGAGGAAUGAUUUGGUUUUAACUGGUUUGCAUCUUAUGAACAAAGUACAUAAUAUGAUUUAAAUUGAUGAUUUAUAGUUACACCUAUUGAAAUUUUGUAUCUCAAUGAUAUCCUGGCCUAUCGAUACGAUAUCCCGUAAAUCCACUCACACACAUAAAUUUUACUCACAUACGUAAAUCCUUUAAAUU
rnacentral:lncRNA from 1 species